CCAGCUUGCAUUUUCUACAUAGAUCAGAGGUAAGUUGUUGCCCCGCUAUGUUUUUGAGGUAAGACCUGGUAGGAAUCACCUGAUCCUGUAUUGCAAGCAGCCUGCCCUCAGUUUCAGGAAACAGGUAGCCCGCCUUAAGGUUUUGCUGAGUGCGAAUCGGCAGCGCGAAGUCGGAAUCCGAUAGCCGUAAUGGGGAGCAUCCUACAUCUAACGAACGAAGGGCUCUGACAAAGGGUUAAGCAUCCCUCUUCCCCCUAGAUGUCUUUGGAGAUAGAGUCUUGCCACGGAUGAGUGAGGGUGAUGUACUCCGUAUUUCGUCAAAAUGGUGCGGAUCUUCGUGUCCAAAGCCUGCAGUUCUGUAGUCGACCAUGUA